UGCGCGGCCUACCAUGCAGUCGAGGGGUAGGGUUACUUCGGUAUCUGAGACCGGCGCACGGGUGCGUAACGCGUAUGCAAUCUACCUUUUACUAUGGGAUAGCCCAGAGAAAUUUGGAUUAAUACCAUAUAGUAUAUUUGAAUGGCAUCGUUUGAAUAUUAAUGAUUUAUCGGUAAAAGAUGAGCAUGCGUCCCAUUAGUUAGUUGGUGUGGUAACGGCAUACCAAGACGAUGAUGGGUAGGGGUCCUGAGAGGGAGAUCCCCCACACUGGUACUGAGACACGGACCAGACUCCUACGGGAGGCAGCAGUGAGGAAUAUUGGUCAAUGGAGGCAACUCUGAACCAGCCAUGCCGCGUGCAGGAUGACGGUCCUAUGGAUUGUAAACUGCUUUUGUACGGGAAGAAAACAAACUACGAGUAGUUAAUUGACGGUACCGUAAGAAUAAGGAUCGGCUAACUCCGUGCCAGCAGCCGCGGUAAUACGGAGGAUCCAAGCGUUAUCCGGAAUCAUUGGGUUUAAAGGGUCCGUAGGCGGCCUUAUAAGUCAGUGGUGAAAGUUUUUGGCUUAACCAAAAAAUUGCCAUUGAUACUGUAGGGCUUGAAUAUCUGUGAAGUAACUAGAAUAUGUAGUGUAGCGGUGAAAUGCUUAGAUAUUACAUGGAAUACCGAUUGCGAAGGCAGGUUACUAACAGAUGAUUGACGCUGAUGGACGAAAGCGUGGGUAGCGAACAGGAUUAGAUACCCUGGUAGUCCACGCCGUAAACGAUGGAUACUAGCUGUUUGGUUUUCGGACUGAGUGGCUAAGCGAAAGUGAUAAGUAUCCCACCUGGGGAGUACGGUCGCAAGACUGAAACUCAAAGGAAUUGACGGGGGCCCGCACAAGCGGUGGAGCAUGUGGUUCAAUUCGAUGAUACGCGAGGGAACCUUACCAGGGCUUAAAUGUAGAUUGACAGAUUUGGAAACAGAUUUUUCUUCGGACAAUUUACAAGGUGCUGCAUGGUUGUCGUCAGCUCGUGCCGUGAGGUGUCAGGUUAGUCCUAUAACGAGCGCAACCCCUGUUGUUAGUUGCCANCNCGUAUGGUGGGAACUCUAGCANGACUGCCAGUGUAAACUGUGAGGAANGGUGGGGAUGACGUCAAUCAUCACGGNCCCUUACG
rnacentral:rRNA from 1 species